UGCCCCUUGGCUGAGUUGGUUACAGCGUCCGACUGUUAGGAAGAGGCUCCUACUGAGUUUCUUAGGCAUCGGAAGGUCGUGAGUUCGAGCCUCACAGGGGCAG